rnacentral:rRNA from 1 species
AGUGGCGAACGGGUGAGUAAUACGUGAGUAACCUGCCCUUGACUCUGGGAUAAGCCUGGGAAACUGGGUCUAAUACUGGAUACUACCUCGCACCGCAUGGUGGGUGGUGGAAAGGGUUUUACUGGUUUUGGAUGGGCUCACGGCCUAUCAGCUUGUUGGUGGGGUAAUGGCUCACCAAGGCGACGACGGGUAGCCGGCCUGAGAGGGUGACCGGCCACACUGGGACUGAGACACGGCCCAGACUCCUACGGGAGGCAGCAGUGGGGAAUAUUGCACAAUGGGCGGAAGCCUGAUGCAGCGACGCCGCGUGAGGGAUGACGGCCUUCGGGUUGUAAACCUCUUUCAGUAGGGAAGAAGCGAGAGUGACGGUACCUGCAGAAGAAGCGCCGGCUAACUACGUGCCAGCAGCCGCGGUAAUACGUAGGGCGCAAGCGUUGUCCGGAAUUAUUGGGCGUAAAGAGCUCGUAGGCGGUUUGUCGCGUCUGCUGUGAAAGCCCGGGGCUCAACCCCGGGUCUGCAGUGGGUACGGGCAGACUAGAGUGCAGUAGGGGAGACUGGAAUUCCUGGUGUAGCGGUGAAAUGCGCAGAUAUCAGGAGGAACACCGAUGGCGAAGGCAGGUCUCUGGGCUGUUACUGACGCUGAGGAGCGAAAGCAUGGGGAGCGAACAGGAUUAGAUACCCUGGUAGUCCAUGCCGUAAACGUUGGGCACUAGGUGUGGGGGGACAUUCCACGUUUUCCGCGCCGUAGCUAACGCAUUAAGUGCCCCGCCUGGGGGAGUACGGCCGCAAGGCUAAAACUCAAAGGAAUUGACGGGGGGCCCGCACAAGCGGCGGAGCAUGCGGAUUAAUUCGAUGCAACGCGAAGAACCCUUACCAAGGCUUGACAUUCACCGGGACCGCCCCAGAGAUGGGGGUUUCCCUUUCGGGGCUGGUGGACAGGUGGUGCAUGGGUUGUCGUCAGCUCGUGUCGUGAGA